GAUGAACGCUGGCGACGUGCCUAAUACAUGCAAGUCGAGCGAACAGACGAGGAGCUUGCUCCUCCGACGUUAGCGGCGGACGGGUGAGUAACACGUGGAUAACCUACCUAUAAGACUGGGAUAACUUCGGGAAACCGGAGCUAAUACCGGAUAAUAUAUUGAACCGCAUGGUUCAAUAGUGAAAGACGGUUUUGCUGUCACUUAUAGAUGGAUCCGCGCCGCAUUAGCUAGUUGGUAAGGUAACGGCUUACCAAGGCAACGAUGCGUAGCCGACCUGAGAGGGUGAUCGGCCACACUGGAACUGAGACACGGUCCAGACUCCUACGGGAGGCAGCAGUAGGGAAUCUUCCGCAAAGGGCGAAAGCCUGACGGAGCAACGCCGCGUGAGUGAUGAAGGUCUUCGGAUCGUAAAACUCUGUUAUUAGGGAAGAACAAAUGUGUAAGUAACUAUGCACGUCUUGACGGUACCUAAUCAGAAAGCCACGGCUAACUACGUG
rnacentral:rRNA from 1 species